rnacentral:rRNA from 1 species
CCUACGGGGGGCAGCAGUGAGGAAUAUUGGUCAAUGGACGAAAGUCUGAACCAGCCAUGCCGCGUGAAGGAUGACGGAUCUAUGGGUUGUAAACUGCUUUUGUAUGAGAAUAAAGUGAGGAACGUGUUCCUUUUUGUAUGUACCAUAUGAAUAAGCAUCGGCUAACUCCGUGCCAGCAGCCGCGGUAAUACGGAGGAUGCGAGCGUUAUCCGGAUUUAUUGGGUUUAAAGGGUGCGUAGGCGGUUAAUUAAGUCAGCGGUGAAAGCUUGUGGCUCAACCAUGAAAUUGCCUUUGAUACUGGUUGACUAGAGUAUAUUUGCGGUAGGCGGAAUGUGUGGUGUAGCGGUGAAAUGCAUAGAUAUCACACAGAACACCGAUUGCGAAGGCAGCUUACUAAGCUACAACUGACACUGAAGCACGAAAGCGUGGGGAUCAAACAGGAUUAGAUACCCGAGUAGUC